rnacentral:rRNA from 1 species
GGGCGAAAGCCUGAUGCAGCGACGCCGCGUGGGGGAUGAAGCAUUUCGGUGUGUAAACCCCUUUCGAUCCGGACGAAACCCCGCAAGGGAUUGACGGUACGGAUAUAAGAAGCCCCGGCUAACUACGUGCCAGCAGCCGCGGUAAGACGUAGGGGGCCAGCGUUGUUCGGAAUUACUGGGUGUAAAGGGUUCGUAGGCGGUGCGGCAAGUUGGGAGUGAAAUCUCUGGGCUUAACCCAGAGGCUGCUUCCAAAACUGCUGUGCUUGAGUGUGGGAGAGGCGCGUGGAAUUGCAGGUGUAGCGGUGAAAUGCGUAGAUAUCUGCAGGAACACCCGUGGCGAAAGCGGCGCGCUGGACCACUACUGACGCUGAGGAACGAAAGCUAGGGGAGCAAACAGGAUUAGAUACCCUGGUAGUCCUAGCCCUAAACGAUCAGGACUUGGGGUGCCACCCGUUCGGGUGUCGUCCCGGAGCUAACGCGUUAAGUCCUGCACCUGGGGAGUACGGUCGCAAGACUG